rnacentral:rRNA from 1 species
GACGAACGCUGGCGGCGUGCUUAACACAUGCAAGUCGAACGGAAAGGCCCUGCUUUUGUGGGGUGCUCGAGUGGCGAACGGGUGAGUAACACGUGAGUAACCUGCCCUUGACUUUGGGAUAACUUCAGGAAACUGGGGCUAAUACCGGAUAGGAGCUCCUGCUGCAUGGUGGGGGUUGGAAAGUUUCGGCGGUUGGGGAUGGACUCGCGGCUUAUCAGCUUGUUGGUGGGGUAGUGGCUUACCAAGGCUUUGACGGGUAGCCGGCCUGAGAGGGUGACCGGCCACAUUGGGACUGAGAUACGUCCCAGACUCCUACGGGAGGCAGCAGUGGGGAAUAUUGCACAAUGGGCGGAAGCCUGAUGCAGCAACGCCGCGUGCGGGAUGACGGCCUUCGGGUUGUAAACCGCUUUCGCCUGUGACGAAGCGUGAGUGACGGUAAUGGGCAAAGAAGCACCGGCUAACUACGUG